UACAGAGGGUGCGAGCGUUAAUCGGAAUUACUGGGCGUAAAGCGCACGUAGGUGGCGACGUAAGUCGGGUGUGAAAGCCCCGGGCUCAACCUGGGAAUUGCAUUCGAGACUGCAUUGCUGGAGUACGGAAGAGGAGGGCGGAAUUCCCGGUGUAGCGGUGAAAUGCGUAGAUAUCGGGAGGAACAUCAGUGGCGAAGGCGGCCCUCUGGUCUAGUACUGACACUCAAGUGCGAAAGCGUGGGGAGCAAACAGG
rnacentral:rRNA from 1 species